UGAUCAUGAAGCCACCCCCAAUCAGCUUGGAAUUUGAGUUUUCCGGUCACUAAAUCGACCAUCGAUCGAUGAGAUUUAGAAACACGCCAACAUAUACAGAUUUCUAUGCCAUUCAACAGUAGUACUGAACAUCGACAACCAAUUUCCAAAAGGCACAUAGAUUGCCGCAUUCCACCAAAAUUAAACUUACAAUUCACAAAUAUAAUUGAAAAGUCUCGAAAGCCACACCUAAUUCGCGAUUAACAACGUCCAGGCACUGACUUGGCGAAAAGAAGCGAAACUCUCCGAAUUCACCAGCAAAAACCAUUUUCAAAAUAAAAAGAAAAGAAACCCAAGAAGAGGAAGAAAAGAACGUCCAGAAAGAAAAAAAAGGAAAAAAAAUAAUAAAUAUAAAUAUAAAUGUUUAUGUCUUUUAACUUAAAACAAACUACUAUUUAACAAAAUAAAAUAAAAAUAUUUCUCCAAAACACACACACAUAGACUCGAACCCAGAACCCAGAGGUACACUAGC
rnacentral:lncRNA from 1 species